rnacentral:rRNA from 1 species
AUGAACGCUAGCUACAGGCUUAACACAUGCAAGUCGAGGGGCAUCAGGAAGAAAGCUUGCUUUCUUUGCUGGCGACCGGCGCACGGGUGAGUAACACGUAUCCAACCUGCCCUUUACUCGGGGAUAGCCUUUCGAAAGAAAGAUUAAUACCCGAUGGCAUAAUGAUUCCGCAUGGUUUCAUUAUUAAAGGAUUCCGGUAAAGGAUGGGGAUGCGUUCCAUUAGGUUGUUGGUGAGGUAACGGCUCACCAAGCCUUCGAUGGAUAGGGGUUCUGAGAGGAAGGUCCCCCACAUUGGAACUGAGACACGGUCCAAACUCCUACGGGAGGCAGCAGUGAGGAAUAUUGGUCAAUGGGCGCUAGCCUGAACCAGCCAAGUAGCGUGAAGGAUGAAGGCUCUAUGGGUCGUAAACUUCUUUUAUAUAAGAAUAAAGUGCAGUAUGUAUACUGUUUUGUAUGUAUUAUAUGAAUAAGGAUCGGCUAACUCCGUGCCAGCAGCCGCGGUAAUACGGAGGAUCCGAGCGUUAUCCGGAUUUAUUGGGUUUAAAGGGAGCGUAGGUGGACUGGUAAGUCAGUUGUGAAAGUUUGCGGCUCAACCGUAAAAUUGCAGUUGAUACUGUCAGUCUUGAGUACAGUAGAGGUGGGCGGAAUUCGUGGUGUAGCGGUGAAAUGCUUAGAUAUCACGAAGAACUCCGAUUGCGAAGGCAGCUCACUGGACUGCAACUGACACUGAUGCUCGAAAGUGUGGGUAUCAAACAGGAUUAGAUACCCUGGUAGUCCACACAGUAAACGAUGAAUACUCGCUGUUUGCGAUAUACGGCAAGCGGCCAAGCGAAAGCAUUAAGUAUUCCACCUGGGGAGUACGCCGGCAACGGUGAAACUCAAAGGAAUUGACGGGGGCCCGCACAAGCGGAGGAACAUGUGGUUUAAUUCGAUGAUACGCGAGGAACCUUACCCGGGCUUAAAUUGCAGUGGAAUGAUGUGGAAACAUGUCAGUGAGCAAUCACCGCUGUGAAGGUGCUGCAUGGUUGUCGUCAGCUCGUGCCGUGAGGUGUCGGCUUAAGUGCCAUAACGAGCGCAACCCUUAUCUUUAGUUACUAACAGGUCAUGCUGAGGACUCUAGAGAGACUGCCGUCGUAAGAUGUGAGGAAGGUGGGGAUGACGUCAAAUCAGCACGGCCCUUACGUCCGGGGCUACACACGUGUUACAAUGGGGGGUACAGAAGGCAGCUAGCGGGUGACCGUAUGCUAAUCCCAAAAUCCUCUCUCAGUUCGGAUCGAAGUCUGCAACCCGACUUCGUGAAGCUGGAUUCGCUAGUAAUCGCGCAUCAGCCACGGCGCGGUGAAUACGUUCCCGGGCCUUGUACACACCGCCCGUCAAGCCAUGGGAGCCGGGGGUACCUGAAGUACGUAACCGCAAGGAUCGUCCUAGGGUAAAACUGGUGACUGGGGCU